rnacentral:lncRNA from 1 species
CCAACAAAAGUAUGAUUCCUAUUGGUCCAUAUCAGAGGGUUGAUCUGGGAGCCCUGGCGCAUAUGCAACAUUUGAAAGAGAUUGAAGCUGAAUUGGCAAAUACAACAUUUGAAAUAUGUUGUUCAAAGGUUAUCUCUUUUAUUUGCGUAAUAUUGAUGUUGACACUGUUGAGAUUGUCCUUCUAAGGAGCUACUGUUGUCUUUCUCAGGGGAUGAGCUGCUUGUAUAGUCUUCAAUGC